rnacentral:rRNA from 1 species
UGCGUAAUAGCUCACUGGUCGAGUGACUCUGCGCCGAAAAUUUAACGGGGCUAAACUAUACACCGAAGCUUGGGAUACAUCUAAUGUAUGGUAGGAGAGCGUUCUGUAUGGGGAGAAGUCGUAGCGAAAGCGGCGGUGGACUAUACAGAAGUGAGAAUGCCGGAAUAAGUAGCGAGAAUUAAGUGAGAAUCUUAAUGGCCGAAAGUCUAAGGUUUUUGGAGGAAGGUUCGUCCGCUCCAAGUAAGUCGGGAGCUAAGGUCAGGCCGAAAGGCGUAGCCGAUGCACAUACGGUUGAUAUUCCGUAACCAUCUGUAAUUUAAGCAAAGGGACACUUCAAAAGGGUGUGACCCGGGCGUUGGUUGACCCGGGCGUAAGGGACCGAAAUUAGAGUAGGGAAGCACACUUGGCUGAAGGCGAGAAAAGCUUUGCGUAUAGAAACAGAUGCCCGUACCGCAAACCGACACAGGUGGACAGGAAGAGAAUUCUAAGGCCAGCGGGAGAAGGGUAGUUAAGGAACUCGGCAAAUUGACUCCGUAACUUCGGAAUAAGGAGUGCUCGAAAGAGCCGCAGAGAAUAGGCCCAGGCGACUGUUUAGCAAAAACACAGGUCUCUGCCAAAUCGAAAGAUGAAGUAUAGGGGCUGACACCUGCCCGGUGCCGGAAGGUUAAGAGGAGGAGUGAGAGCUCCGAAUUGAAGCCCCGGUAAACGGCGGCCGUAACUAUAACGGUCCUAAGGUAGCGAAAUUCCUUGUCGGGUAAGUUCCGACCCGCACGAAUGGUGUAACGAUCUGGGCACUGUCUCAACUACCCACCCGGCGAAAUUGUAGUACCGGUGAAGAUGCCGGUUACCUGCGGCAAGACGGAAAGACCCCAUGGAGCUUUACUGUAGCCUGAUAUUGGGUUUCGGAAAUCUAUGUACAGGAUAGGCGGGAGACUAGGAAACAUGAGCGUCAGCUUGUGUGGAGUCGAUGUUGGGAUACCGCCCUUAGGUUUCUGGAAUUCUAACCUGCGGCCGUGAAUCCGGUCGGGGGACAUUGUCAGGUGGGCAGUUUGACUGGGGCGGUCGCCUCCGAAAAGGUAACGGAGGCGCUCAAAGGUUAGCUCAGCACGGACGGAAACCGUGCCUCUGAGUGUAAACGCAAAAGCUAGCCUAACUGCGAGGGUGACGGCCCGAGCAGUAACGAAAGUUGGAGUUAGUGAUCCGGCGGUAUGUGAAUGGAAAUGCCGUCGCUCAACGGAUAAAAGCUACCCUGGGGAUAACAGGCUGAUCUCCCCCAA